GCGAUCAUACCAGCACUAAUGCACUGGAUCCCAUCAGAACUCCGAAGUUAAGCGUGCUUGGGCGAGAGUAGUACUAGGAUGGGUGACCCCCUGGGAAGUCCUCGUGGUGCACCCC
rnacentral:rRNA from 1 species